AACGGGGUCUAAUACCGGAUAUGACUGUCCAUCGCAUGGUGGAUGGUGUAAAGCUCCGGCGGUGCAGGAUGAGCCCGCGGCCUAUCAGCUUGUUGGUGAGGUAGUGGCUCACCAAGGCGACGACGGGUAGCCGGCCUGAGAGGGCGACCGGCCACACUGGGACUGAGACACGGCCCAGACUCCUACGGGAGGCAGCAGUGGGGAAUAUUGCACAAUGGGCGAAAGCCUGAUGCAGCGACGCCGCGUGAGGGAUGACGGCCUUCGGGUUGUAAACCUCUUUCAGCAGGGAAGAAGCGAAAGUGACGGUACCUGCAGAAGAAGCGCCGGCUAACUACGUGCCAGCAGCCGCGGUAAUACGUAGGGCGCAAGCGUUGUCCGGAAUUAUUGGGCGUAAAGAGCUCGUAGGCGGCUUGUCACGUCGGUUGUGAAAGCCCGGGGCUUAACCCCGGGUCUGCAGUCGAUACGGGCAGGCUAGAGUUCGGUAGGGGAGAUCG
rnacentral:rRNA from 1 species